UCCUGAUUCCCUUACUUACCUUUACAGCUUAUAUACUUUUUUUUUUACACAAAAAAAAAAAAAACAUGUUGUAUUUUAACUCUUGUGGUGUGAGCACAAAAAAACGUGGACACUGCAGGACUGCUGUACGGACUUUCAUGGCCAGUAAAGGCAUCAGAGGUAGGUGGAGAUGCUCAACCCUACCCCACAGCCUCCAGCCUGAUGGCACGUCAUGUGGUGUGUUUGUGUGUAAAUUUGCAGAGGCAGUCGUAACAGGGGGAGAUUUAGAGUUCCCCUGCACCCAGAGGGAUGUGGCCAAUCUCAGAAAAAAGUUGGGUCUAUACCUUCUGGAAAAAUCAGGUAUUUCAGACAAACUUACCUGAAAGGUCAGAGAUCUAAGUUCAAGACUUACAGAUCAGAAUUCAUACCAUGUUUGUUUCCACCGAAGACCUUGGUGAAUUAUGUUUACUAUGUGGAGACACUUAUCCUUGUACACAAGAGUCCAUGGAUACUUGGGUAUGAUAUGUACAUAAGAUUCUUUUUUAAUGUAUAUAACGUCUUGAGUUAAUACUGAUGUGAAUCCUGUUUUUUGUCUUCAAGAUACAAUGUGAUGGCUGCCAGGGUUGGUACCAUUGCGAAUGUGUGAACUGGCCAGACACUAAAGGACUUUUUAUUUGCCCUGGUUGCAAAGGGUCCGAGUAGCCUAAUAAA